GAUGAACGCUGGCGGCGUGCCUAAUACAUGCAAGUCGUACGGAAAGGCCCUUCGGGGUACUCGAGUGGCGGACGGCUGAGUAACGCGUGGGAACGUGCCCCAAAGUGAGGGAUAACGCACCGAAAGGUGUGCUAAUACCGCAUAUGGUCUUCGGAUUAAAGCUUCGGCGCUUUGGGAGCGGCCCGCGUACGAUUAGAUAGUUGGUGAGGUAAUGGCUCACCAAGUCGACGAUCGUUAGCUGGUCUGAGAGGAUGAUCAGCCAGACUGGGACUGAGACACGGCCCAGACUCCUACGGGAGGCAGCAGUAAGGAAUUUUCCACAAUGGGGGCAACCCUGAUGGAGCAACGCCGCGUGCAGGAUGAAGGUUUUCGGAUCGUAAACUGCCUUUAUAAGUGAAGAAUAUGACGGUAACUUAUGAAUAAGGAUCGGCUAACUACGUGCCAGCAGCCGCAGUAA
rnacentral:rRNA from 1 species